UGGGAGUCCCACCCACACGUGGAUGUUAACCGGGUGAAGCUGAAGCCCUGAGAGGUGGUAGCGGCCGAGUCUGUGCGCCCUUGAGUAUCCACGUCUGUCCCUCUCACCUCGAUCCCGAAACCCUGGUGAUCGUCUCCCCUUCGUUCAGAGUGCUUGCUUAGGGCACUCUUCUGCCCCGUGGAAACCGGGAUCCCUCAGGCGGUGUUUCUUCCACCUCGCCCGGUGGAAAAUCGGAAACGAGCCUUUGCUAAUCGAUUGGGCUGCACUUCUUCUUCCAAACGUUCCAAGUGACCAUGAGAAAGCAAAUCAGUAGAAGUUCCUGAACAAAGCAUAAAAGGACCUCUGUUCACCAAGCAGAAAGGACACAGAAUGUCCCCGAGAGGCUCAUGUGUGUG
rnacentral:lncRNA from 1 species